GAUGAACGCUGGCGGCGUGCCUAAUACAUGCAAGUCGAGCGAGCAGACGGGGAGCUUGCUCCUCUGACGUUAGCGGCGGACGGGUGAGUAACACGUGGAUAACCUACCUAUAAGACUGGGAUAACUUCGGGAAACCGGAGCUAAUACCGGAUAAUAUAUUGAACCGCAUGGUUCAAUAGUGAAAGACGGUUUUGCUGUCACUUAUAGAUGGAUCCGCGCCGCAUUAGCUAGUUGGUAAGGUAACGGCUUACCAAGGCAACGAUGCGUAGCCGACCUGAGAGGGGGACGGGCCCAACAUGGAACGGAACACGGUCCCGAGCCCUAACGGAGGACGGAGGUAGGAAAUUUUCCGAAGUGGGGGAAAGCCUAACGGGGCAACCCCGGGGGGGGGAGGAAGGUUUUCGAUCCGUAAACCCCUUUUAUUAGGGAAGAAAAAAUUGGUAAGUAACAAUCAACGUUUGGACGGACCCUAAUAAAAAAGCCACGGCUAACUACGG
rnacentral:rRNA from 1 species